UGGAACAGGGAGUGCCUCGGGAGCAGGAGACAGGUGCUGCAUGGCUGUCGUCAGCUCGUGUCGCGAGAUGUUGGGUUAAGUCCCGCAACGAGCGCAACCCCUAUGUUAGUUGCCAUCAUUCAGUUGGGCACUCUAGCGAGACUGCCGGUAAUAAACCGGAGGAAGGUGGGAUGACGUCAAAUCAUCAUGCCCCUUAUGACCUGGGCUACACACGUGCUACAAUGGUUGGUACAACGAGUUGCGAGUCGGUGACGGCGAGCUAAUCUCUUAAAGCCAAUCUCAGUUCGGAUUGUAGGCUGCAACUCGCCUACAUGAAGUCGGAAUCGCUAGUAAUCGCGGAUCAGCACGCCCGCGGUCGAAUACGUUCCCGGGCCUU
rnacentral:rRNA from 1 species